GUUGAUGAGUUUAAAAUGUUAUUUUAUUAAAAGCCAAUGGCCUUACCCAUGUGCUCUUUAAGCUUGUUUAAUUUGUAUUUGAAAUAAUGUUUUUGCCCUGUGUAUUUUAAAUGGGAGGCGGAGAAGUAGUCUUUCGUCAUUUUCUGGCAGAGAAGCCAUCGAUGACAGAGGAGGUGUUUUUUGGCGUAGAAGCAAUUGAUGACGACCAUGGCUCGUCCUGGCGUCGCAAUUGCCGACGAGGAAGGCUUUUUUCGAUCCAUGGAAAAGCAAUCGGAGGAUCGAUGUCAGCGAAUUCACAAAGAUUAAAGGCUCUUCCUGCUAUUUUGGCGACUAGGCCUAAUAGAUCUCCGUCUCCUGGGUUGAGGGCAACAUAGUUGGUGAUUGGCGAUGGCUGGCAAGUGAGGGACGACGGUGGCUGGUCGGAAGCCUACAAAAGAUGGUAGUGGGUGACGAGGGAUGGCGGCGGCUGGUCGGAAGCUGACGAGGGUAGGCGACCGUGGGCCGGGAGGUGCUUGUCGCCAAUGGGUGGUGGGCAGUGGCGGCUAGCCGGAAGGGUGAUUGGCAAAAGAGGACAUGUGGCAUAGUGUGCUUGAAUUAGAAGGAGUGGCAUUUUGUGUAAUUUUAAUAUUUUUUAAUUACAUUAUUGUAAAAUUAGGGUACUACUUUUGGAUCUUUGGCCUUAUGCUAAUUAGGUGAAGUUGUAUUCCUAUGUUCCAAAUUAGAAAACUAUAUAGUGUCUUAAAAUGAAAGCUCCCUAUAAAAUAUUAGUA